rnacentral:rRNA from 1 species
AUUGAACGCUGGCGGCAGGCCUAAUACAUGCAAGUCGAACGAGUGGCGGACGGGUGAGUAAUGUCUGGGAAACCGCCUGAUGGAGGGGGACAACUACUGGAAACGGUAGCUAACACCGCCUACCAUAUGAUGUUCCCAGAUGGGAUUUGCUUGUAGGUGGGGUAACGGCUCAACUAGGCGACGAUCCCUAGCUGGUCUGAGAGGAUGACCAGUCACACUGGAGCUGGGACACGGUCCCGACUCCGACGGGAGGCAGCAGUGGGGAAUAUUGCGCAAUGGGCACAAGCCUGAUACGGCCAAGCCGCGUGUAUGAAAAGGGCCUUCGGGUUGUAAAGUACUUUCAGCGGCGAGGCGUUACCCGCAGAAGAAGCACCGGCUAACUCCGUGCCAGCAGCCGCGGUAAUAC